UCCCAGGUGUCUCAGUGGGUAAAGAAUCUGCCUGCAAUGCAGAAGAUGCAGGAGACCUGGGUUUGAUCUCUGGGUUGGGAA
rnacentral:tRNA from 1 species